rnacentral:rRNA from 1 species
CUGCAGGCUGCAACUCGCCUGCACGAAGUCGGAAUUGCUAGUAAUCGUAGGUCAGCAUACUACGGUGAAUACGUUCCCGGGCCUUGUACACACCGCCCGUCAAACCAUGAGAGUUGGCAACACCCGAAGUCGGUAGUCUAACCGCAAGGAGGACGCCGCCGAAGGUGGGGUCGAUGAUUAGGGGUUAAGUCGUAACAAGGUAAC